rnacentral:rRNA from 1 species
UUGAAAGGGAAACGAUUGAAGUCAGUCGUGCUGGCGCGAAAUCAACCUUCUCGUCUUGAGAUCACAUGGCGUGGCGAGCCUCAAAACCGUCACGAAGCGUGAACUCUUGGUGAAAUGGAGCACUUUCGUGUCCGCUGGUUAACAUCAAUUUCGAACGUCAUAAAAAGGCCGGAGGGAUGUGGCUCCUUCGGGAGUGUUAUAACCUUUAGCGGAAUGUGGUGUUCGGGAUUGAGGAUUGCAACGAAUACCUUUAGGGCUGUUCCACCUGGCUUCUCUUUGGUAUCCUGGUGACGACAGCUUGCUGACGUCGUUAGGAUUCGCCUUUGAACAGGCUAGAGUGUGAGCAAAUUCGUUAAGGAUGUUGACGUA